UUUUUAGCACUGGAAGUUAGUUUAGCGCAUUAGAAGACAUUCCUAUUGGUUCAAAGUGUAACCACAAUCAAAAGGCCUGUCUAAUCCAGUAUAACAUUUGCCUGGAAUGCUGCAAAGCACUUUAAUGCCAGAGUUGUGGGACAUGCUUGGUUCCACCUGUGAUUUGUUUGUUGUGUGCCCUCAGCUGUUGUCCUAUGCAAAUACUCCCAAGCUGAAUGGAAUACCACAAAUACACCAGCGAAUAGGACUGUGUCCUGUGAUCUACAUGACAACUGCACAGGUCAGUCAAAUUGAAUGGACAAGUGCUGAGGAUGGUGGAUGACCGAACACUUCCUCCACUGAAGGGAAGUGAGCUGCCGCCUGGAGAACGCAUCAAGCUGCCUGGGUUCUCAUUUGCAUUCUAUGUUCUGAUUGAAGCAGAAGCGCCGGUAUGCAAAUGAGCUCUCAUAAAGAAUCAGGGACACAAAAUGUGUGAUGACAAGAGAUACUAUUUUAUGUGAGGGAACUUUACACUUGAAAGAAAUUAAUCAGUUUCGUAUUAUAUUAUCACUGUUUUAUUAUUUAUGAAAAUUCAUAUUUAUUGCAAAUAUCAAGCUGUAGCCAAAAAGAACUUGUUUUAUACUUCAUGAACAACAUGCACUGGGUUUAAUCUAUUUUAUUUUGAAAUAAACCGAUUUUAAUCAAAGUGCUCAUUUGUCAGGACAUUUAGUUUGACAAGUUGAAGUGAUCCAUUAUUUUCCAGCACUCUGUGCUUAUAGCAGUCAAACCUUUUGAUUCUUAGUCAUUUUCUGUCUUUGUGAUUCAAAUCUGUGUGUGUGUGUGUGUGUGUGUGUGUGUGUGUGUGUGUGGUCAGCUAAAUUUAAAGAUGUAUUAUAAAAUGAUUGAGACAUUUAAGAAUCCUCUCAAAGAGUAGACAAAAGAGGUCUCAUUGCACUUCUCUCUCAGCGUGUGAUGAUUGUAGCAGAAAGUCUGUAUUAGACGACAAAUGAAACAUCUGUGAUAUCUUAAGUGAGAACACAGCUGGUAGAAAUACAGAUCAAUAUUCCUUGACUGGCUGCUUGUGUAAUCUGUGAAAAAAAUUGAUUUAUUUUCAUGUAGAGGAGGAUUGAAAUUUUAUAUAAUCAUUUAACUACCAUUUCAACUGAUUGAAAAAGCAUGGAAAAGUCAUCAAAACCUCAUCUAAAAUAAACCACCAGCAUAUAGAUUGUACUCAAAAGGAAAGCUGUUUUUGUAAAGUAAUGACAGCAGUUUUGUUUAACCAGCCACCUGUUAAUAGCACAUUAUUGAACAUUUGAUUUGCUCAAUGCCUACUUGGGGUCUUUAGUGGACAAACCCUGCAGUGGGGUAUUUUUUCCACCUGGUGGCGAUGUUUACUGCUGUUGAGAGGCUGAAUCGGAAUAUAAUCCACAUUACAUAACGUUAUGAAUGUAGACCACAAGCUUUAUUCAUUGUUGGUGAUUUUCAGUAUUGUGAGGUUCUAGUUUGGGAUAAAUACUUAUUAUUAUAUAUAUAUACACUGUAAAUAAGGAAGCUUAUGAUUUUUUUUUGGUAUAUCCCAAUUAUUACAUAAAAUUUUGAAAUUAAGAGAUUGACAAAUAGUAGAAGUCGUUCAAUUUAAUAUAAUUGUGUCUAUUUAUGUCAUAAUUAUGACUGUCUCAUAAUAUUUUACCUCUGAAUUUUUGCUCAUGUCAUACUUAUUCACUCCUAAUUUUAGGUUAUGUCAUAACUAUGACUUUCUAUCUCAAUUUUCACACAAUUACUAAUAUCAUUAUUUGUUUUUUGAUAUUUUGUUUUUAUUUCAUAAUUAUGAAGGUUUAUCUCCUAAGUUUGACUUUUUAUGUCAUAAUUACGACUUGGUGUCUAAUAAUGUCAUAAUUUUUGCAGUAGUUGAUAAUUAUUUUCAAUGCAUAAAAUUUAACUUACUGUAUAUAAUUGGCUGGUGAAAAUUAAUAAUGUGCCUAUAUUUGUUUCAUAAGUACUUUUUCUAUUACUGGUUCAAUUCUUAAAUAAAUAAUAUGCAAUCCAUCUGUACCGCUUUCUAAGCUCAUUUUACUGAAAAUCCUGGUUUGCAUGGUUCUCUCAUGAACGAGCGCAGUAAGCCCUGCGGUGUCUGUGCUAAGUUGAGCAUGGCAGAUGCUGAAGGGGUCGUUGUUUGCAGUGGCCCCUUGAUAAUACACGGCUUGUGUGCGACGAGGAGAGCAGACUCUGGCAACCUCUGCCAGUCAGACAUCUUCUCCAUCUCCCAUGAGAAAUCCCACGGCCAAUGACCACAAGUCCUCACUCCAGCAGUGUGCUGUGUCCACAGAGCCCUCUCAGCUUCAUUAAGAGGCGCCGUCUGGAAACAUGAGGGGAUUUAGGCAGCGUCAGAGAUUUAGGCAACCCCUAUGGGCAACCCUGACUGAAGUAUUUCUAUACUAAUGACCCCGUGAACCGGGGAGUUUCGCACUUUUUGAUGCCAAGGGCACACAUAUAGCCUAUGACGUUAAUUUUCUCCUUAAUAUAAUAUGUGACACAUUAAUUUUGGCCACUGUGAAUUUUUUUCUCUUAAAAAGGUUUUAUUUUUUAUAAAAAGGUGUCAAAG
ensembl:lncRNA